GACGUAGGGGGCAAGCGUUGUCCGGAAUUAUUGGGCGUAAAGAGCGUGUAGGCGGCCACACAGGUCAGCUGUGAAAACUCGAGGCUCAACCUCGAGACGUCGGUUGAAACCGUAUGGCUAGAGUCCGGAAGAGGAGAGUGGAAUUCCCGGUGUAGCGGUGAAAUGCGCAGAUAUCGGGAAGAACACCCGUGGCGAAGGCGGCUCUCUGGGACGGUACUGACGCUGAGACGCGAAAGCGUGGGGAGCGAACAGG
rnacentral:rRNA from 1 species